AUACGUAGGAUGCAAGCGGUGUCCGGAUUUACUGGGCGUAAAGAGCUCGUAGGCGGGGACGCGCGUCCCGGAGGAAAUUCCAGGGCUCAACCCUGGAGCUAUCCGGGAUACGGCGUCUCUUGAGGGCAGAAGAGGAGAACAGAAUUCCCGGUGUAGCGGUGAAAUGCGUAGAUAUCGGGAGGAAUACCAGUGGCGAAGGCGGUUCUCUGGUCUGUCUCUGACGCUGAGGAGCGAAAGCGUGGGUAGCGAACGGGAUUAGAUACCCCGGUAGUCCACGCCGUAAACGAUGGGCACUAGGUGUAGGAGGUAUCGACCCCUUCUGUGCCGCAGCUAACGCAUUAAGUGCCCCGCCUGGGGAGUACGGCCGCAAGGUUGAA
rnacentral:rRNA from 1 species